UAGUCUGGUGCCAGCAGCCGCGGUAAUUCCAGCUCCAAUAGCGUAUAUUAAAGUUGUUGCAGUUAAAACGCUCGUAGUCGGAUUUCGGGGCGGGCCGACCGGUCUGCCGAUGGGUAUGCACUGGCCGGCGCGUCCUUCCUUCCGGAGACGCCGCCUACUCUUAGCUGAGCGGGCGGCGGAGACGGAUCGUUUACUUUGAAAAAAUCAGAGUGUUUCAAGCAGGCAGCUCGCUCUUGCAUGGAUUAGCAUGGGAUAAUGAAAUAGGACUUUGGUGCUAUUUUGUUGGUUUCGAACACCGAAGUAAUGAUUAACAGGGACAGUCAGGGGCACUCGUAUUCCGCCGAGAGAGGUGAAAUUCUCAGACCAGCGGAAGACGAACCACUGCGAAAGCAUUUGCCAGGGAUGUUUUCACUGAUCAAGAACGAAAGUUAGGGGAUCGAAGACGAUCAGAUACCGUCGUAGUCUUAACCAUAAACCAUGCCGACUAGGGAUUGGAGGAUGUUCCAUCUGUGACUCCUUCAGCACCUUUCGGGAAACUAAAGUCUUUGGGUUCCGGGGGGAGUAUGGUCGCAAGGCUGAAACUUAAAGGAAUUGACGGAAGGGCACCACCAGGAGUGGAGCCUGCGGCUUAAUUUGACUCAACACGGGGAAACUUACCAGGUCCAGACAUUGUGAGGAUUGACAGAUUGAGAGCUCUUUCUUGAUUCGAUGGGUGGUGGUGCAUGGCCGUUCUU
rnacentral:rRNA from 1 species